AAAGUCGUAACAAGGUUUCCGUAGGUGAACCUGCGGAAGGAUCAUUAUCGAGUUUUGACUGGGUUGUAGCUGGCCUUCCGAGGCAUGUGCACGCCCUGCUCAUCCACUCUACACCUGUGCACUUACUGUGGGUUUCAGAUGUUAUUAGCGGGGCCUUUACGGGUCUCGUGAAAGCCUCUGUGCCUGCGUUUAUUACAAACUCUUACAAGUAACAGAAUGUGUAUUGCGAUGUAACGCAUUUAAAUACAACUUUCAGCAACGGAUCUCUUGGCUCUC
rnacentral:misc_RNA from 1 species